GUUCAGUAUCACCAGUGUAGUCAUCUUCAUGACUACCGUGCUCUCGAUCUCCCUCCUUUUCUUCUUUAUGCUUCUCUUUAUCUUCGGUGUGGAAAUCAUCAAAUCGCCUUAGGAGAGCAGCAAGGCUUUUGUCCACACUAGCAACGGAUUCCUCCAAACGUGUGAGCUUGUUGUUUGUGGCAAUCUGCGUAGCCUCCAACUGCCCCAGCUUUUCAUUUGUCACCUGCAAGUCGUUAUCAAGUCCCUCUGUGUGUAGCCUCACUUUCCUUUCAAAAUGUUGUAUGAUGCCCUUAGUGCGAGGUGUAAGUGGUGUUUCGUUACCAUCAUCUGCCCCUGGCAUGGUUCAAAGACAAAGACAACAAAAAGGCAAGUGAAGAAAUAAAAGCCCUACAACUACUAGGAUGUAGCUACAACAAGUCGCUCACACUCAACCUGUAACACAAGUUCUUACCAAUUCUUACCUUGCUUGACAGGAGGGGUCGUCUGCCAACAAGUGUACAGCAAUGGACGAAGUGUAUCGGUGCUGCAGCACAAGACCUAUCAAGCUGUAGAGUAUGUGGAGCUAUAGGUGGGCUGAAACAAGGAACGAACUAGCACCAUGUUAGUUAUAAAAGCGAGCUGAAUAAGCGUUCGGCGAUGGUACUGUGCUGGUCCUAGCCUAGACCGUGCUAGAGACGCGAGCCUGGACACAAAGGGAAAACACAGCACACCACUAGAAACAAAAUGAGCAGCCCUACUGGAAACAAAAGGAACAACAAUCCCCAUUUUUUUGAUUUUUUUUCUCUUUUUUUUCUUUCUUUCUUUCUUUUUUUUCCUUUCUCUUUUUUUUUGGGGAACCUCAAAACCUGAUUAUAUAAACAAAAUAGUACAAAAUAUCACUUCACCACUCUCACCCUCUCACUAGAGUAAGGCUGAACCUCAAAAUUCAAUAUAUCUAGCACAAGUAUGAAGUGCUAUCUUUCCUUUUGGAUCACGUUGACGGAAACGCAGAAUAGACCAACAAGUGGCUGCACCUAUUAUCAAGAUCUACUCAAAUUCUAACCCACAAUAGAUUGGACGCAGUUGUGACUAGAUGGUGACAAGAACUCAAAACUCUAAAGGACUAAACUAAAACCAGCACUCGACACGACCGAAGCAAACACUCAUUCAACCAGCCUUAACUAAGUAGUACUAGCCACGGCACAAAGGAUUUAUAGGAUUAUGGAAAACAAAUCUGCUAUAUUUUUUUUGUCUUUUUUUGGACUAUAGGAAAAACAAACACGAAGAAUUGGAAAUCUCUCACCGAUAAACCUUGCUCUGAUACCAACUGAUGUGAACCCACUAGGGUUUUCGCCUGAUCUUUCGAUGAGAGGCGCUGGAUAACUCGAUUAGUGAAUGGAGAUGACGUUCACGGCCCGACUACAGCCUUCUAAGGCCGCGCCUUAGCAACCGAUACACCGCCUCCAAUGGCUGUCACGAUCUUGUGGAGCGCAACACCCGGCCACUAGGGCACUCGUCCUGCAAGCAAUCGAAGAACCAGCAAGAACAAGUAGAACAAGUACUAAAUUACUAGAUGUAAAUGAAGGUUUCAAACUCAAUCUCUAAUG
rnacentral:lncRNA from 1 species